UGAACGCUAGCUACAGGCUUAACACAUGCAAGUCGAGGGGCAGCAUGACGAUAGCUUGCUAUUGUUGAUGGCGACCGGCGCACGGGUGAGUAACGCGUAUCCAACCUUCCCGUUGCGUAGGGGAUAACCUUGACGAAAGUAAGACUAAUACCCUAUGAAGUUCUUCGCAGACAUCUAAAGAGAACGAAAGAUUUAUCGGCAACGGAGUGGGGAUGCGUCUGAUUAGGUUGUUGGCGGGUAACGGCCCACCAACGCCCACGAUCAGUAGGGUUCUGAGAGAAGGUCCCCCACAUUGGAACUGAGACACGGUCCAAACUCCUACGGGAGGCAGCAGUGAGGAAUAUUGGUCAAUGGACGGAAGUCUGAACCAGCCAAGUAGCGUGCAGGAUGACGGCCCUAUGGGUUGUAAACUGCUUUUUAUGUGGGGAAUAAAGUGAGGGACGUGUCCCUUUUUGUAGGUACCACAUGAAUAAGGACCGGCUAAUUCCGUG
rnacentral:rRNA from 1 species